GUCAUUUCUGGUGUGCUGAUGCAGACACAAGGUGCAGACACAUCUUGAGAAUGGAGGGCAUAGGCUGUAUCUCUGCUCUUCUUCUUGAGACAAUGCAAAGCAAGGUCAGGCAUGGAAGCACUUAUUGCCCCCUUUUGGCCUGACAGUGUCAGGGCAGAAGUCCUAUGCUAUCCUAGGGCUGGAUAUGGAGGAGGCCAAAGUUGGGGUCACUCUCCAGUCUCUUUUGUGGAAGAAGAGAAUAAAGGGGUGUAUUCAUGAUAGGUGUGGCAUAGGUCACGGAUCUCAGGGCUGAUGUAAGUCUUAGAUCCAUGCUCAAAUGUCUUCUGUCCCUUUUCUUGUGAAUUUUUAUUUGUCCACAUCAUUUUGCUAAAUUUUUCUUUUUUAUGGAAUGCAAUGCCUUGAAAAUAUAGAAUUCCAUCCUCAGAACCUGGCUAUAAUGUGAGAAUCUGGAUAGAUCACAGUCGAGAUAUUUACUCACAUUUCUUUUACCCAAAAAUGUCAAUAUUUUGAAUGGAGGGCUUCUUUUACGGAAACGCUGUGGGUCUGCAGAAUUAAGUUUUCAUUGGUUAACAGAAGUGAGUUGCAAUGUCAUAGGUCGCUGUGACAAUCUAUUUCUCCAUUCCUUUCAUGCUGCUUGCUCUGAAGUGGUGGGACCCUGUGGUGAUAAAAUAAAGUAACCUGCACAGACUCGCCACAUGUGCCUCCUGGUUCACCUAAUGUGAGCUCUGAGGCAUGAAAUCCUAGGUCUCAUUCUGCAACUUCAGUAAGGGGCGGGGUCUGCCUUGAUGGUCAGGUGAGAUCUAUAAAUUUCACAUUAUCAUCUCCAUCUUUUCAGAUAUUCUUGCAUUUUAUAUCUGAAUGGAGAAGGUCAAGGGCAUGGUACUACUUUAUGGCUGCCACAAUUGCUGAAAAUAUUUUCUUUGCCUCUUUUUCCUGGUUGGACCCUUCUCCAUUAUUAGGUCAAGGAGUCCCCUGCUGGGGCACACUCAGUAUCUUCAUGGACCCCUUUGAUGUUAGUAGGCCCUAGAAGAGGCUAAUGCUGUUACGAUGGUAUAGGGAAGAAUGUGAACAAUGCGGUGCUCACUCCCAUACUUUCUUACCCAUUCAUGGGGUUCUGUAUCCUGCCUCUUUCACAGGACCCAUAUUCUUGAAAGUUAUAUAGUAGGGUUUGGUCUCAGAGAUUCCUUGAUGUAACAGAUCCUUGACAGGAAAUCCCUCCUUUUCUUGCCCAGUCCCUUGAAUCACCCCAUUCUGUAGGUGUUAAUAAGGGUUCUUUGUGCAAGUAUUCUUUAGAUGGCAGGGGCACUUCCUCCUCUGGUGUGCAGACACAUGGGGCAGACCUCUGUUGAGCAUGAAGGGCACAGGCAGUAUCUCUGCUCAUCUUGGGACAAUGUAAAGCAAUGGCAGGCAUGGAAGCACUUCUUCCCACACUGUGGCCUCAAUGUGUCAGGGCAGCAGGCCCAUGUUCUCCAAGGGCUGGACUCCAAAGUUGGGGUCACUCUCCAGUCUCUUUGCUGGAAGAAGAGAAUAAAAAGAUGUGCUCAUGAUAGGUGUGGCAUAGGGCAUGGAUCCCCAGUCAUGAUAGAAGUAUUAGAUCCAUGUUCAAGUACCUCCUGUACCUGUUCUUGUAUAUUUGAAUUUGUCCCCAUCUUUGGUAUAGUUUUAUUUUUUCAAGGAUACCAAUUUCAUGGAAAUAGAAAACUCCAUGCCUCAGUGCAUGUCUACAAUGUGAGAUUCUGGAUAGAUCACAGUCGAGAUACUUACUUCACAUUUCAUUUAAUUACACAAGAAUCUUUCUUAAUGCUUUGAAUGGAGGGCCUCAUCUUUUUCCAAACUGUGAGGAUCUGGAGAUUCAGAUUUCAAGUUGCCAGUAGAAGUGAGGUUUAAUGUUAUAGACUCCUGUGACAAUCGUCUUCUCCAUCUCUUUCAUGGUGACUCCAGCAAAGGGAUGGGUCCCUGUGGUGAUAAAAUAAAGGAGCACGCUUAGACUUUACCCAUCUGCCUCCUUGCCAUUACAUGUCUCACCUAAUGUGAACUCUGAAGCAUAAAAUGCCUUGGUCCUGUGCUGCCUUUUCAGUAAGAUGUGCAGUGCAACGAGGUUCAGGACAUGCCUGUUUUAUUUCGAAUCAAGCUCUGAAUCUCUGAGGACAAUCUGGUGCUUUAUAUCUGGAUGUCAAGGUUCUGGCAGUACGUAAUGGCUUCAACUAUUUGCAGAAAUAUUUCUUUGCCUCUUUUUCCUGCUUGGGUCCUUCUCCAUUUUUAGGUCAGGAUGUCCCCUGCUGGAGCACACUCAGUAUCUACAUGGACCCCCUUUGGCAUUAGUAGGUCCUAGAAGAGGCUAAUGGGUGUAGCAUGGUAUAGUGAAGAAGGUCAAGAAGUGAUACACCAUCCCGUACUUGCCUAGAAAUUCAUGGGUUCUGUGUCCUGCCUUGUCAGUGGACCCAUAUUCUUGAGAGAUAUGUAGUAG
ensembl:lncRNA